CUUUCCCUCAUCGCUCUGCUCAUCUCUUUAUCUCUGGCCGCUGUCAUGUUAUCUCCCAGCCUAUCUUGCUCUCAUCUCCCGCUCUCUGCCUGUCUUCACCCCUCCCCCAUCCCCAUCCUCCCCCCUCGCUCUGGCUAUCUCCUUGCCAUCUGUAUGGCAGUCUGGCAAACACUCAGAGGCUCCCCAGCCCUGCCGGCACUAUCACCUCCUCCCCACUGCCCCCUGCCCUGGGACUUCUCUGGCUGAACCCUCCUACCCCUGCCCAUGGCGCUCUGCCUCCUCUUUCCCUUCAGCAGCCCUGGCGGGAGCCACUUCCUGGCAGGCGCCCCCAGCCCAGGUGGGUGGCUGUGGAGUGGAGCAAUGCGGGCAGAUGAGGGCGGAACGCAGUCUCCUGGGCGAGGGUCGGGCCUGCUAAUUCCCCCGCUCUGGGUGGAGGACGCGGAGGCCUCAUUCAAUUAUGUCACAUCCACUCAGCCGCUCCACCCAGAUGAUCCAGAGCAGCCUGCUCGCCCUUCCCUGCCAGGACCUAAUGGAGAGAGAGCUCCUUCGGCCUGGCUGACACAGGGCCCCUGGAACGAGGAUGGCCGGCCGUCUGGCCUUGGGGUCUCAGCCUGCCAUUAUUCACUGCCCACCCUGAUCACACCCAACAACUGGCCUCUGGAGUUUGCCCCUCUCGCUGUAAUCCCAGUGGAAUUGGACCUCAGGGCCUCUCAUUCCAUUACCGCACGCCGCCUUGGCCACUGCCUGCAGGAGCCAGGCUGGCCCUGCCUCUUCUCAGAGGUCUUCACUGACGAAGGGCCAUACCAGGCGCUGUGAGAGAGCCCAGAGAAGCCCCAAACCCUGUCUCUUUCCUCGAGAAGCUUAGCCAGGGGAGAUGAGGCCAGCAGAACGAAACAGAUGAGGAUGCCGAGGCCCAGAGAGGGAAGUGACAUGGCGAGGUCAUCAGCUGACUUAGUGGCGGAGCCAGAGACACACCCACGACUUUUGCGAAUCACUUUAGCAGUUGAUUGAAGCAGUGUGUGUCACCUGAAAAUAAUUAGGGCGCUGGGAGAGAGGGAAGCGUGGACGUUGAGACCCUGCCUCGUGAACUUCUCGUCUCGUCACUCCUGCCAGGUGGUGAGGGGUGCUGACAGUGUUUCUCUCCCAGACGGUAGUGGCUCCGUCUUGGCCCCCCUCCUCUCUUCUCCAUGACCUCACUCCUGGCAUCUUUGGUGGAGAAGUUGGGCAGAUUAUAGUUUCGCAG
rnacentral:lncRNA from 1 species